rnacentral:rRNA from 1 species
UACAGAGGGUGCGAGCGUUAAUCGGAAUUACUGGGCGUAAAGCGCACGUAGGCGGCUUGGUAUGUCGGGUGUGAAAUCCCUCGGCUUAACCGGGGAACUGCAUCUGAUACUGGAUGGCUUGAGUUCGGGAGAGGGAUGUGGAAUUCCAGGUGUAGCGGUGAAAUGCGUAGAUAUCGAGAGGAACACCUGCGGCGAAGGCGGGUUGCUGGGCCGACACUGGCGCUGACGCGCGAAAGCCAGGGGAGCGAACGGG